AUUGAACGCUGGCGGAAUGCUUUACACAUGCAAGUCGAGCGGCAGCACGGGGGCAACCCUGGUGGCGAGCGGCGAACGGGUGAGUAACACAUCGGAACAUGCCCAGUCGUGGGGGAUAACACUUCGAAAGAAGUGCUAAUACCGCAUACGUCCUGAGGGAGAAAGCGGGGGAUCGCAAGACCUCGCGCGAUUGGAGUGGCCGAUGUCAGAUUAGCUAGUUGGUGGGGUAAAGGCCUACCAAGGCAACGAUCUGUAGCUGGUCUGAGAGGAUGAUCAGCCACACUGGGACUGAGACACGGCCCAGACUCCUACGGGAGGCAGCAGUGGGGAAUUUUGGACAAUGGGGGCAACCCUGAUCCAGCCAUUCCGCGUGAGUGAAGAAGGCCUUCGGGUUGUAAAGCUCUUUCGGCAGGAACCAAACGGUGAGCUCUAACAUAGCUUGCUAAUGACGGUACCUGAAAAAGAAGCACCGGCUAACUACGUG
rnacentral:rRNA from 1 species